GGGGCUGUGGCUCAGAGGUAGAGCACUUGCCUGCCAUGCAUGAGGCACUGGGUUUGAUCCUCAGCACCACA
rnacentral:tRNA from 1 species